GCUGGGUGUGGUGGCGCACACCUGUAAUCCCAGCUACUUGGGAGGCUGAAACAGGAGAAUCGCUUGAACCUGGGAGGUGGAGGUUGCGGUGAGCCAAGAUCACACCACUGCACUCCAGCCUGGGUAACAGAGCAAGACUCUGUCUCAA
rnacentral:SRP_RNA from 1 species